UACAGAGGGUGCGAACGUUGUUCGGAAUUACUGGGCAUAAAGAGCACGUAGGCGGCACCGCAAGUGUGGGGUGAAAUCCCACGGCUCACCCGUGGAACUGCUGGGCAUACUGGCGAUCUUGGGCCAUUCAGGGGCGACUGGAACAAGCGGUGGAGCGGUGAAAUGCGUAGAUAUCGCUUGGAACGCCGAAGGUGAAAACAGGUCGCUGGGGAUGUGCCGACGCUGAGACACGAAAGCCAGGGGAGCAAACGGG
rnacentral:rRNA from 1 species